rnacentral:rRNA from 1 species
ACGCUGGCGGUAUGCUUACACAUGCAAGUCGAACGCACGUAGCAAUACGUGAGUGGCGGACGGGUGAGUAACGCGUGAGAAUCUAGCUUCAGGUCGGGGACAACAGAGGGAAACCGCUGCUAAUACCGGAUAUGCCGAAAGGUGAAAGAUUAAUUGCCUGAAGAUGAGCUCGCGUCUGAUUAGCUAGUUGGAGAGGUAAAAGCUCACCAAGGCGACGAUCAGUAGCUGGUCUGAGAGGACGAUCAGCCACACUGGGACUGAGACACGGCCCAGACUCCUACGGGAGGCAGCAGUGGGGAAUUUUCCGCAAUGGGCGAAAGCCUGACGGAGCAAUACCGCGUGAGGGAGGAAGGCUCUUGGGUUGUAAACCUCUUUUCUUAGGGAAGAAGCUCUGACGGUACCUAAGGAAUAAGCAUCGGCUAACUCCGUGCCAGCAGCCGCGGUAAUACGGAGGAUGCAAGCGUUAUCCGGAAUCAUUGGGCGUAAAGCGUCCGUAGGUGGCAGUUCAAGUCUGCUGUUAAAGGCUGGGGCUUAACCCCAGACAGGCAGUGGAAACUGAACAGCUAGAGUGUGGUAGGGGUAGAGGGAAUUCCGGUGU